GUUCCCUGUGCUGGUUCAACAGAUGCGACAUGCUCCGAACUGGGAUAUAAGGAGCAAAGUGAUGAGAGUGAUUGGACUGAUGGCCUCCCACUGCACAGAACUCCGAGAUAACGUUCCUGUCACAGAGGCAGUUGCCAUGUUCACAGAACUGAUCCGUGAGAACUUCAGGAGCAGCAAAUUGAAGCAAUGCUUGAUUCCACCCCUGGGGGAGCUGCUCUAUCUCAUUGCUA